CUUGAUGUAGCUUAUUCAUGAGCAUUUAACUGUUAAUUAAAAGGAACUUAUCGUCAUCAAGU
rnacentral:tRNA from 1 species